GACGAACGCUGGCGGCGCGCUUCACACAUGCAAGUCGAACGAGAAGCCCGGGCUUGCCCGGGUGGAAAGUGGCGAACGGGUGAGUAACACGUGAGCAACCUGCCCCGAAGACCGGGAUAACACCGGGAAACCGGUGCUAAUACCGAAUGUCUUCGCCGGACCGCAUGAUCCGGCGAGGAAAUGGUCAGCCGCUUCGGGAUGGGCUCGCGGCCUAUCAGCUUGUUGGUGGGGUAACGGCCCACCAAGGCGACGACGGGUAGCUGGUCUGAGAGGAUGUCCAGCCACACUGGGACUGAGACACGGCCCAGACUCCUACGGGAGGCAGCAGUGGGGAAUCUUGCGCAAUGGGCGAAAGCCUGACGCAGCGACGCCGCGUGCGGGAUGAAGGCCUUCGGGUUGUAAACCGCUUUCAGCAGGGACGAAAUUGACGGUACCUGCAGAAGAAGCCCCGGCCAACUACGUGCCAGCAGCCGCGGUAACAC
rnacentral:rRNA from 1 species